AAUUAUGUAUUUUACUUUUUACUUUUAAACUUGUUUAUUAAAAUCUUAGCUGGAUUAUUUCUAGUUACUUCUGCCCCAUGCUUUUUGUAAAUGGCUGUGGUUUCCACACUAAGGUAGCGAGAUCAUUAGUUAUUUGAUUGGUAACUUGUAUGAAAGGAGCUUUUUAAAAGUUAUUAUAAUUUUUUCUGAAAUUAUAUUUUUGUUGAAAAUAACAAUCUCCGCCCUAAGACAAAAAGACCCUAGAAUUUUUAUAAUUUAAAUUAUUUGGUUGGGGAAAUAUUUAAUUUUAUAAAUAUUAAAAAAUUUAUUUAUUUAUGAACUUUUUUUAAAGAAAGUUAGCUAAAAUACUCUAGGGAUAACAGCUUAAUGGUUUUUGUUAGUUCUUAUUACUAAAACUGUUUGGGACCUCGAUGUUGGAUUAGGUUUACUUUGGGGUGUAGAAGCUUUUUAAAGUUAGACUGUUCGUCUAUUGAAUACCUACAUGAUCUGAGUUAAAGUCG
rnacentral:rRNA from 1 species